rnacentral:rRNA from 1 species
UACGGAGGGGGCUAGCGUUGUUCGGAAUUACUGGGCGUAAAGCGCACGUAGGCGGCUUUGUAAGUUAGAGGUGAAAGCCCAGAGCUCAACUCUGGAAUUGCCUUUAAGACUGCAUCGCUUGAAUCAUGGAGAGGUGAGUGGAAUUCCGAGUGUAGAGGUGAAAUUCGUAGAUAUUCGGAAGAACACCAGUGGCGAAGGCGACUCACUGGACAUGUAUUGACGCUGAGGUGCGAAAGCGUGGGGAGCAAACAGG